GUCCAGCUUCGGCUCGGCAUGAGAGGGAAAGGGGGAGGGGGAGGGGGAGGGGGAGAGGGAGAGGGACGUUAUUUUCAUAUCUCAUAAAAUAAUACUUUGUUGGUCUGGUUCAAAUAAAUGCUAUCUAUUACUUUCUGUGGUACAUGUUGCCUAUAAAUUCCAUUAACUUUAACAAAAGAACCUGAAGCACUGCCACAGAGAAAAAGGGAAGAAAAUCUAUAUUAUUGGGUAGAAAUUAGCCUUCUAUUUUUCAUCAACCCUUUUCACCUCAAAUCUUCCAAUAAAAUAAUCAAUACAUUUAAAGCCCAAAACUUCUAGCCUCAACUAAAUGGAAGCUUAAUGGAUGAAAAGGAUAAUAAAUGAUUACAGAAAAAGACAGUUCUUUGACAAAGACCCCUGACAGCAUGCUCGUGUUACUAAUCUAGUUCUGUAUAAACAUUCCACAUAAAAGAAUAUAAACGUACUAGGUACAUUUUUAACUUCUAGGCACUAAGACUAUGAGAGAGUAGAAAUGUCUACCUGUAGGCUGGGUACUCUCCUUCCUGCAUGUAGAAUAUGAGCAGUAAAUGAUGGAGACUUACUUUACAUUUUUUAGUCUAUAGUCUUUGUUAUACAAUACUUUUUUGAACUUUGUUUUUAUUUUGUUUGCUUUUUUUUUUAACUUGCUAAAUAGAGGUGGUAGCUAUCAGCAGGUGUGUUUUUCUACCAAAUUAAAUAAAAGCCUAUUUCAACAAAACAGUAUGAAUAUUCCAAGUACUGUUAUUAUAAAAUUUGAAUAGAUCUCUUAACAUUUCCUAAUCAUGCCCUCUGUGUUCAUUGGGAUAUGCCAUUUUCCAGUAACAUACCACACAACUUGAAGGUACUCAAUGCAUAUUUGAUCAAUUUAGAGCAAUAAUAAAUUACAUAAUAAUAUUUUUAUAUUGAAUAGCCAAACAAUCUGAACUUUCUUUAUACAAUAUUUCCUAAAUGCAUAUGUUGGCAUUUCAAUCAUAUUCGAACACUCCGUCUCGCCAAGUACAAGAUACAAUGACAAGAGUUGACAGAAAAUAAAGUAAUAUCUUGGUAUACUUUUUAAUUUUAGUAUUUGUAACACUCACCAUCAACUGUCACUAGUUCCAAUGCAGCUAGAAAUUCAUCCUUUUUUAAAUUACUAUUCAAACUAGACAGAGU
rnacentral:lncRNA from 10 species